rnacentral:rRNA from 1 species
AUUGAACGCUGGCGGCAUGCCUUACACAUGCAAGUCGAACGGCAGCACGGGUGCUUGCCCCUGGUGGCGAGUGGCGAACGGGUGAGUAAUACAUCGGAACAUGUCCUGUAGUGGGGGAUAGCCCGGCGAAAGCCGGAUUAAUACCGCAUACGAUCCACGGAUGAAAGCGGGGGACCUUCGGGCCUCGCGCUAUAGGGUUGGCCGAUGGCUGAUUAGCUAGUUGGUGGGGUAAAGGCCUACCAAGGCGACGAUCAGUAGCUGGUCUGAGAGGACGACCAGCCACACUGGGACUGAGACACGGCCCAGACUCCUACGGGAGGCAGCAGUGGGGAAUUUUGGACAAUGGGCGAAAGCCUGAUCCAGCAAUGCCGCGUGUGUGAAGAAGGCCUUCGGGUUGUAAAGCACUUUUGUUCGGAAAGAAAUCCUUGACUCUAAUACAGUCGGGGGAUGACGGUACCGGAAGAAUAAGCACCGGCUAACUACGUG